AGCCUCUCAGGUGUCUAUCCACGAAACGAUUUGAGGUCUGAAAGUGAACAGUUAAUAGUUUGAGGAAAAUCCCCCCGUUGUCUGGUUUUGCCGUCAUUUCACCAAAAAGUCAAAAGACUGCUCUCUUCAUUUGCUUAUUACUCUCCUCCUCCAAUUAUCACUGAUCCCAACCAAUUCCAUUCCCACCAAAGAUUAUGAAGAAAAGAAAAAAUUCUUUAUGGUUGGUGCCCGAAACAGAUUGAAUCCUCAGAGCCUGUCCAAUUCCUUGUCGUGGGAUUCCAGCAAGUUGCUUUGUGGGUCAUGCUUUCUUCUUCUUCUUCUGAACUCUGUUUUGCUCCUUCAGUUUCACUGUCCAGGUGAUUUUUGGUGACUGGAGAUCGUGCUCAUGCCGCACUUGCAGAGGUCAGCAGCCUGAAUUCUGUUUGUAAGUUAUAAAUAUGGAGCCUCCGCGGGGGGUUCUUGCUUCGAUAUGGAACUUCGUGUGCUUUCUUCCUUACUUCGUCGGGCUCCUGUUGCUUGGCAAUAUUAAAGGUAUACUAUUCUGUCCUUUGAUUUGCUUGAUCAUAACAAUCGGCAACUCUGCGAUCUCACUGGGACUGUGGCCAAUUCACUUCUUCUGGACAUAUUACUCUGUUCUAAGAGCUAAAAGAAUAGGCCCCGUCUUGAAGCUGAUCCUCUUCAUUUGCCUUCCCGCGCCCUUGAUCUUAUGGCCUGUGGUUGCUAUUGUUGGAAGCGUAGUGGGUGGAAUAUUGUAUGGCUUUCUUUCGCCAAUAUUUGCCACUUUCGAUGCUGUUGGAGAAGGAAAGACGAAUGAAAUUUUCCACUGCUUUUAUGAUGGGACAUGGAGCACGAUCCAAGGGAGCUUUACAGUUGUUCGGGACUUCAUGGAUGUUUCCCUUCAUUCCUACCUCUCAAUCAUGGAUGAUCUUCGUCAACAAGAGCUUGAAGAUGGGAAAUAUUAUGAAAUUAGAUUGUUACAUCUUCCAGGGGCUGUUGUCGCAGGAGUACUAGGUUUCAUGAUCGAUAUGCCUAUGAUCACACUGAUUGCCCUAUACAAGAGCCCUUACAUGCUCUUUAGGGGCUGGCACCGGCUAUUUCAGGACCUCAUUGGUCGCGAGGGCCCGUUCUUGGAGACAAUUUGUGUCCCAUUCGCUGGUCUCGCCAUUAUACUUUGGCCGCUAGCUGUAGUUGGAGCAGUUAUGGGAUCAGUUGUUUCAAGUAUCUUUCUCGGUGCAUAUGCAGGAGUCGUCGUCUAUCAGGAGUCCUCUUUCUGGUUUGGGAUUUGCUAUAUCCUCGCAUCAUUGUCACUCUAUGAUGAAUACGGCAAUGACAUCCUUGACAUGCCGGACUGGUCCUGCUUUCCUAGGCCACGGUAUAGGAGGAACAUUGUGCUGUCGCGGACAAGUUCCCGAGCAAGUGGUAUCUCAAGGCCUGGCUCUUUCAGAAACCCUCCCUCUCGUGUUGGCUCGGUGAAGAAUCCCAUUAUUGAGUUGAAGCCACUUGAGCUACUCGACCACGUCUUUGAUGAGGCCAAACGCUUUGGUGAAAGCUUGGUAUCUGAAGGACUAAUAACACCGCAAGACAUCGAGGACACGAGAUCCACUAAAGGCGGUGGAGUCGUGAGCAUAGGCUUACCUGCUUAUUCACUUUAUCAAGCCCUUCUACGCUCUGCUAAAGCCAACUCCUCUGGCAUCUUGUUAGUAGGUGAAGCAAGAAAAUUUGCGGAUGAAGGUGAUGAUUCAACGGAGCUGACUAGCACAAACAGACCGAAGGAUGUGUUUUUUGACUGGUUCUUGAAUCCUCUUCUGAUUAUCAAAGACCAGAUCAAAGCAGAGAAUCUUUCUGCUACGGAAGAGGACUACCUCGGAAAGCUUGUCUUAUUAAGCGGCGAUCCUGUAAGGUUGAAAAGUCCAUUGAUGGGCCCACCUCCUGAAUCUGAGCGCAAAAGGGCUGAACUUGAUGCAUUAGCUCGUAGGCUUCAAGGAAUCACCAAGUCGAUAUCGAGGUACCCGACAUUUCGCAGGCGUUUCGAUAGCCUUGUGGAGGUGUUACUGGAAGAUCUGGCAAAAAAGAAUAGUGUAAGCAGACCAACAAGCGAGAGUCAGAGGCUUUCGAAAUCAAGGAGCAUCUUUCGUCGGGUGUUCAGUCAGAGAUCGUUCAGAGGCAGAGCAACCAAUCCUGGGUGCGAUCAAGAGCAGCAGCAGUCUGUCGAUGGAAAUAUUGAGAACGUAUAGUUGCAGCACAGCAAGUAAAAUUUGUUCGUUUUUUGCUCGGUAUAUAGUAAGCAGAUGGAGACCGAAAAUCGUCCGGAGCCGAAUAUGAAUCCCUUCCGACAGUCUGUCUGGUAUAUCAUGAGCACUGGGAACCGAAUGAAAUAAAGAUGAUUAUAUUCCGUCUUCCAUUGCAGCAGACUAUAUGAGGCAUCAGAGUUCACAGAAGAUUAAUAACCGAAGAUCUCUAGCCUCAAAAGCUCUUCACUACAUCCUCAGUCUCAGUAUCCUUGAACAUAGUAUUCAUCUGCUGAACUUAUCGAAUAUGUUAUGACUCAGAAUCUGAAGAUACUAUACAAAGAUGAAACUGUACAUAUAAGGAAUAGUUCUUCUUCCCUUCA